rnacentral:rRNA from 1 species
UACGUAGGGUGCAAGCGUUAAUCGGAAUUACUGGGCGUAAAGCGUGCGCAGGCGGUUUUGUAAGACCGAUGUGAAAUGCCCGGGCUUAACCUGGGAACUGCAUUUGUGACUGCAUGGCUAGAGUUUGGCAGAGGGGGGUAGAAUUCCACGUGUAGCAGUGAAAUGCGUAGAUAUGUGGAGGAACACCGAUGGCGAAGGCAGCCCCCUGGGUCAAGACUGACGCUCAUGCACGAAAGCGUGGGGAGCAAACAGG